UAAAAUAAAUACAGGAGAAAGAUUUAUUUGUUGUUCUCGAAAUUCUUUGUAAAACUUGGAAAAACGCAGGCAGCAAAUUGCGAUAAAAUGGUAGAGAAGUGAAAAGUAGUUGGGGGAAGACAAAGAUGGUGCAGCUCUUUUCUGUAUUUGAACGUUUGCGCUAUGCAUUCCUGCAUUACUAACUAUUGCUUUUUUUACAAGAUCACGUUGAAGAAAUUGAUUAGGGAGCGUGUAUGAACCCGCUCCCUAACCAAAACCCUCCCUAAAAGAAUAUGAAUUCUUGAACGUGAAUGUCGACACGAACUACAAUUUCAUAUAGGUGUCGUAGAUUCAUUUGGGGGAGCUGUGCUAGCUGAAAUGUAAUAUUGCUACUCUUGCAUUGCGCAUGUCAACGCAACUAUUACGCAACAAUACGCACUAUGAUAGCCACUCUUAAAAUAUUCAUAUAAAUAAAAUAUUUGGAUAAUAUACAAUAGUGAUUAUGUACCGUGGUGGCAUUCAGUACAAAUAAUAAAGUUAAAACAGCACAAUGAAAUAUAAAAGGAAUAAAUCAAUUUUAUUUUUUAGAUCAUGCUCAUUGUGCCUCCUCAGACCCCACUUCCAAUAGAAAAUAUAAAGGAGAUAUCUAUGUAUCCAUUUUAUGCUAUAAUCAUGUAGGAUAUUAUUGUUUUAGGUUUGUUCCACAUCUGCAGAAUAAAUUGCAACAGUAGAAGUGCAACACAGGAAAGAGUUACAUGCUAUUCAGAUGGACAAUGAGCUCCAGUGAAAUAAAAAAAUAAAAUUGAGAUAUAUUAAUAAAAGAAAAAUAUAAAUUUUAUAAAAACAAA